UUCAACAGAUUUACACACACACUCGCAACUUUUUAGCUAUGCUACCCACACAUUUACAAAUUUAUUUUUCCGACUGUUAAAACAAAAUUCUGAGUGAGAGAACCGGACCUAAUAAAAAUUUUUACUGUAAUAAGAAUUUUAUGCGUUAGAGCGAGUAAGUGGAAAUGAAGCAAAAUUUGACAGCUUUGAUCACAGAGGCUGUGACUUUAGCAAAAGUUUGACAUCUUUGAUCACAGUAGGCUGUAAAUAAAAGCGUUAAUUUUGCAAAAACAUUUGAAGAUUGCCGAAACAUUGCGAUUUAAUCAUAUAAUUAAGUCAGGCUCCACACCAGCAUAUCCACCACCUUCAACGCCGCCACCAAUAAACAGCGCUGCAUACAUUAUUCGGUAAGUUUUCAUGCGACGAAUAAACGUUGCUUCUGCUGCAACUGCCUACAUUAAUCAUGUUCCUGGUGCUUCCCGAUUUGCACAUUUCAAAAGAAAAGCUGUUUUUGCAAUUAAUAAACCUUAUGGCGUACAGAAACAGCUUCCUCUAAAAACCUGCGAAGCGUGAAGUACCUGGAACAGGCUUAUUUAGUGCGUUCCAGAACGUCUACGAUUUGCAGGUUUUGCAGGAUUUAGUCCAAAGUCGUUCCCGUACGCCACGUUCACAUAAGGCUUAUUAAAGGCAAAAACAGCUGUUCCGGAAAACCUGCAAAUCCUGCAAAUCGUGAAGUACGGGAACAGGCUAAUUAUGUGCAAAUGUAAACAACAAAAGAAAGUGCAGUGUUUACAUAUGUAAAAAGUGUAGUAGGACUGGUGAAUGCGGUCAUUCUGGAAGCCAUAGUUUACAAAGUGUAGUGCACAGUUCAACAACAGUGAUUGGGUUUGCUACUUCAUAGCAGCAGUGGAAAUGGAAACAUUGCUCUGCUAUUGCUACUUCUCUACUUGAAUAGAUAAGAAGCACGGCCAGAAUCGGAAAACACACGAGGACCUUCCUUGUUUUACUUGGUUCUAUGUUUCGUUGAGGCACAGAUCAGGUAGGAGAACUAAAAUAUGAACGAAGUGAUAUUUGUAGUCAGAGUAAUAGCACAUACAACAAUAUUAUGAUAGCCUCAACGAAACAUAGCACUAAUUAAAACAAGAAAGGCCUUCUUGUGUUUCCCGAUUCUGACACUGCUUCUCAUCUAUUCAAGUAGAGAAGUUGCAAUAGCAGAUCCACGUUUCCGUGCCACUGCUGCUAUGAAGUAGUGAACUCAACCACUGGUAGUUGUCAUAAUUCGCAGUAGUAACAGUUUAACAUGAAGCAAUGGAUUUGUCACCACUGUUCCUGGGAGAUACCGAAGCCCUCUCUCCACCACGCACGAGCAACACAGAUGUAGCCCUACAUAGAAAGCGCUUUCAUGU